AACCCAGGCUAUCCAUCGCUGGUCGAAACCUAGCUGAGUCAAUACUGCUCGGAGAAAUCCCCAUUCGAUCAUCUCUUUAGAGAACUAGAGAACAUAUUAUCAGAAGGGAUUCUCUCUUCACCCUGUUCUCACAUCAACAUCUUUCACAGGGAGAAAGAGAUUUGUUUUUGUUGUAAGAUAAUGUUUUCGAUCUAAGGAUCAAUCUUUUGUUUCCACUUUGUCGGAAUCUUUAUCUUCGCAAGGCGAUUAAUCUUUUUCGCAAGGCGAGUUUUUUUUGUUGUGUCUUCUCAACCGAAUCAAAGCAGCUUCUAACAUCAAUUUCUUUCUCUUGUUCGAGUUGAGAUUAAAACAAUAAAGUUUGUGUUUAAGUCUGAUGUUUCUAAAAUUGAUUUUCCUUGCUGGUUUUUGUUUAUUCUUCAUUCAAUUGGAUUUAAAUCUUGCUCUUAUUGUAGUUAGUUUGUCGUUAUAGUUGGGAAUUAAGUUUUUCGAAGGAAGGUUGAAUAGAUUGGUGAUUUAAAUCGGCCAGUUUGUUGUCGGAUUAAGUUGAGCUGGAGCUUCUUUUGAAAGCGUUCUGGCAAAGAAUCUGUACACGAGUUUGAUUCGAUUAUAUCUUGGGCUUAUAGCCACCAGUGAUAUAAUCAAUCUGAAGAAACUUGACGAAAGAUAGAGUUGUUGAAGCAGGCGAUUCCGGGAAGAGAGGUUCCAAAUUUAAUGAAGAUUGAUUCGGGAGGAGGGUUACAGCAGAGGAACACCGGAGAGAUGAUGAAUCAGCGGAGACUGCAACUAUUGCAUGAAGGCAGCAUGUUGUUCCACGUGUCGCGUAAAAGCUUCCUCGGUUGAGCACACGUAUAAAAUUAUGAAUGGUGAAGAAUCGUUUCUUCAUUAGGGAUAAUCCUUAUUUGUAAUCUAUAGAGGGUCUCAAUUUUAUAAACACGAAUCGUUGUACUCAAUUGGCCUUUGAGCCUUAACGAAUGACGAC
rnacentral:lncRNA from 1 species